AGUUACGAGAGCGAGGGAGCAAAGUUAUGUUCGCUCACUCUCUCUCAUUCUCUCUGCUCUCUCCUUUUCUAAUAUAACCUGUUUUACAAAUGUGAAUAUGGCAAUCCAGUUCUCUUUGGAUACCAAUAGUGCAGAGAGUAGGUCGCUGAGAGUAUGUAAUUCACCGACUGUGCAGUACAGGGUAUUCCUCAAGUUCCGCCAGGCAGGACAUUGAAAGAAAGUGUGUAUAUUGCAAUCUAUGCUUGCACUGCAGUGAUGGCACGCCGGCGUAGGUUCUUUUUGGAUUUUGCAUAAAAAUUUGCCAAAACAGCCGUGGCCAGUCAGCAUUUGACUAAGAUGGAAGGAUAGUUUACCAUGUUUUCUAUUGAUCCAAUGAUCAAAUUGAGGAAGAAUCGCAGAUAUAAGCGGUGCAUUAAUGUCUCGAGUAGAACCUCCGUUGCGUUUAAGUCUUUCUAGUGCGUAAUAUAUAUCAGAGUUAACUUGUAUUUGAAUGUCAAUCGGAAUGCAACGCGAUAAUAAUAGUACGGAAUUCAGUGCAACAGUUCUAUAGCAGGAGUUUCAGCCCAGACUGGUGCACCGUAUAGGACUAUGGAAUUGAAGGUGUUCAUAUAGAGUCUUCGAACGGACUCAGAGGGACCGUUAAGGUUUGGUAGGAUACGGUUAAUAUUGUUGAUAUAUCCUACGAUUUUUGGAAUAAUAUAUUCAAAGUGCACUCUGAAGAAAUUUCAGACUACGGUCAAUCCCUCUGGGUUUAUUAGUAUAGCACAUAAUAGCCGUUUUUUGCGUCGCAAUAUCUAGUCCAAUACGUCUGAUUGCGUUGAAUAUAUUCUGCGCAGCAAUUGAGGCUUUAUUACGGCAACGGAUAAAAUUCCUGGCAGACACUAAAAUAAGUGUAUCGUCAGCGUAGCCCGUUAUAGUAACCCCAGGAGGCAUUGGGAAUUUUUCCAAUGUCGUCUAAAAGACAGAGCGGUCUAUACGCAGAUGGAUCAUUUGGAGGUUUAUUUGGUUUCCUCAACAGUACCAAUUUCGCUCUCUUCCAGCAGGUCGUAGGAAAGAGGGAAUUCAUCAUAGUAUCGAGGAUCACAGGAUCUAGCGAUUCAACUAGCGGUACAGGAGUCGUUGAUUCUUUCUUUGUCGCCCAUUUAUAGGGACGACCCCAUGGAUCGUUGUCAAGAUCAAUUUCAGUCGACCACCAGUUCUGGGGAGGAAGACGCCCAGCUGAGGAGCUUUUGGACAUUGAGGCGUUACAAAUGCUGAUUGUAGUAUAUUUGGAACAGUAGCUAAAAGAGAUAUAGCGAUGGUCUGAGAGCAUUUCGCAUUCAAGGACACGCCAUUGUGAAAUAUUUGGAAAUGCAAGCCAGUUAGUUAAGUUGAUAUCGACAAUAGACGAUCCCUGUGGUCG